rnacentral:rRNA from 1 species
UACGUAGGGUGCGAGCGUUGUCCGGAAUUAUUGGGCGUAAAGAGCUCGUAGGCGGUGUGUCGCGUCGGCCGUGAAAACCUGGGGCUCAACUCUGGGCGUGCGGUCGAUACGGGCAUCACUUGAGUUCGGCAGGGGAGACUGGAAUUCCUGGUGUAGCGGUGAAAUGCGCAGAUAUCAGGAGGAACACCGGUGGCGAAGGCGGAUCUCUGGGCCAUUACUGACGCUGAGGAGCGAAAGCGUGGGGAGCGAACAGG